rnacentral:rRNA from 1 species
UACGAAGGGGGCUAGCGUUGCUCGGAAUCACUGGGCGUAAAGCGCACGUAGGCGGAUUGUUAAGUCAGGGGUGAAAUCCUGGAGCUCAACUCCAGAACUGCCUUUGAUACUGGCGAUCUCGAGUCCGGGGAGAGGUGAGUGGAACUGCGAGUGUAGAGGUGAAAUUCGUAGAUAUUCGCAAGAACACCAGUGGCGAAGGCGGCUCACUGGCCCGAUACUGACGCUGAGGCACGAAAG